rnacentral:lncRNA from 1 species
GCAGGAGGAAGCUGCUGGAGCUGCUAGUAGAAAGUAGAAAGCGAACAACAAAUGUAGGAGUAGCAUCGAUCAACAAGAUGAUCAGUCCGGAUAUGGAGCUGCCGCGUAGAAUUGAUAAAAAAAAACAUGCAUGCAUGCACAAGCAAUUAAUCGAAACCUACAUAAAAUAUGCUCAAUCCGGCGUACCAAAUGGCAAAUGGGUGCGUGCGCACGUACGUACUAGUUGCCCG